rnacentral:rRNA from 1 species
GCAAAGGUAGCAUAAUCAAUAGUCUUUUAAUUGGAGGCUUGAAUGAAAGGUUUGACGGAGGAAAAACUGUCUCUUUAAUUUUUAUUGAAUUUAACGUUUGUGUGAAAAGGCAUAAAUAGUUUGGAGGGACGAUAAGACCCUAUAAAACUUUACAUAUUAUAUUGUCUGGCUAAAUUGUUAUAUUAAUUGUAAGGCAAUAGUUGUGUUUUGCUGGGGCGGCAUGAAUAUAAUUGUAACUGUUUGAUGAAUAAAAUAUUUAUAAAUAUGAAAUGGUCCUUUAUUAAGGAGAUAAGAAUAAGUUACUUUAGGGAUAACAGCAUAAUUUCUUUAGAGAGUUCUUAUCGAAGAAGUUAGUUGUGACCUCGAUGUUGAAUUAAAUUUUCCUUUAGGUGUAGUAGUUUAAAAGGAGGGCCUGUU